GCCCCCGUUGUCUAAUGGCUAUGACGUCAGACUUCUAACUACGUGACUCGGGGUAAUCUGGAGGUUGCGGGUUCGAGUCCCGCCGGGGGUU
rnacentral:tRNA from 1 species